UAGGGUACAUGUCGGGCAUCUGAGAGCAUAGUGUUGGUUUUCUUAACGAGGCUCUCAAAUCGGAUUUGGGCAUAUGAUAUUGGGAGCUGAGUGUCACACCCGGAUUUCGGGGCACCAAGACCCGGGCGCGAACAUAAUCACCAGGUGUGCUGGGACCAAGUCUCACACAUAUGAUGAUUCAUGGCACAGGAUCGAAUGUCACAUCUUUACUAUAUAACAGGAGUUCUAUACAAAAUAAAUAAAUAAUUUCAUUAUAAGGAGACAACGGUCCAGCAACCCAAAGUUGACUGGGAGACGAUGGCCUAGACCUCUCACGAACUCGCCACAGCAUCCUCCAUGCGCCUCAUCCUGCGGUACCUGUUCUUGACCUGUGGGGGGGGGUGUGAGACAACAAGAGUGAGCUCACAUACGUUCAUCGCUCAACAAGUUGUGGGGAAUAAUGUGAAUGAACUCGCCAAAGAUGGGAGCUCAUGUGAAGUGUAAGGCUUACCAAAGAGGAUGGUUAGAGCUGAGCAUUGCUUUUAAAGUUGGUCAAAGUUUUAUUAGCAAUUACUAAGUAUAAGUAAAUACCAACCCAAUUAAAUAGUAGAACAGAAGUAACAUCACCUGCGAUGCAAUGCAUAUGACAAAUUGAAUUUAGUUCCAUAAGUUAAUCAUGUGAGGGUCCGAGCCGCUCAUGACCGUGAGCACGGCUAGUAUACCAGUUUUACACUCUGCAGAGGUUGCGCAUCUUUACCCACAAGUCAUGUUACCCAUCUGCCAAGGGAUCGCGACUUCCCAUACACCUCUACCGAGGAGGCGAGGCAGGGUAACACUACGAGGCCUUUACAAAGUUCCACUAGCUUCAGAAAACCCGCUACAGUUUAUAGGAAGCUCCAAUGCAGGAAUCCCUUGCAGGACCGCCAUCGCAGCAAAAUCCUCCCGAGGGCCUCCCUACACUGACCACUCCCCUACUGCCCUUGCCCCUUUCAGGUAAGGUAGUCUUCCACUAGCUUUCCUAAUUAAUCAGCCAAGGGCGUCCCAUUAAACCCUUGUGGUAGCACUGUUUUCCCGGGUGGUCGCUCCAUGUUCCAAUUAACAUAAUGAUCCUAUCAUGAACAGAAAUAAUAAACUGAUAAUAAAAGUGUAAUCAUGAAUAAUGUAUCUUCAUACCCAAAACCACAUAAAGCACUAGCAAGUACUACCCAAAAAGUUCAGUGGUAAACAAGGUAUAAAGAUAAUCAAACUAGGGUAACCUAUUGGGUCCCAUCAAAAUUAACCUAUGCAGAUCAUUAUGAUUAAUCAGAACAUGAGUAGGUAAAAAGAAGUGAUCAAGGGCACAACUUGCCUGGGACUUGAGAUUCCAGGUACCAACUUGCUCUUCAGCUGACUCGUGACCUCACUGCUAAACGUAGCAAUACAGACAAACAUUGUAUAGGCAAAAUUAACAUCACACUAAACAUAAGAACAAAUUGUAUAAUAAUGAUCUACGCGUCACUACGAGAUCGUGGGAUCGAGAACCACUAAAUUUGGGGUUACGGUUAUGAAGUUAUGGCUUUCCGAAGAUCCACGUGGUUAAGCACUUAAAACUAGACCUUAUGUUUAUUUAAUAGAUCAUAUGAGAGAAUAACCUAAAUGAAUAUUUAAUUCAACUUUAAGUUAAAUCAUAAUAUAAUUAGGGAUCAUAUUUUAGCCAAACUAUAAUUAUAAAUAGAUUAACUUUGAUUUCAGAGAGGUUAAUCUAGUAAACAUAGGUUAAAUGAAUAUCUAACUAUAAGUAUCAGAUAUGGUAUAAUUAAUGUUUUUAGUAUGUAGAGAAUAUUUUUAUGAAGCUAACGCAACUGGAACGGAGUAAAACAGAUUUAAAACGAGUAAGUUAUGCCAUAAACAAAUUUCUAGGUUUCCUAAUUAUUUAUUUUAACUCUGUAACGGUUUCUAGGGGUAUAUUUAAAAAGUCCAGGGACCCUAUUGUAAGUUUUACCUAAUACCGAGGAUGGCGGGUUUAUUAUGUGAAAACCGAGGGGCUCUUUAGAAAGUUUGCCUCGGCGAAGGGGUACGGGGAAACCAGAGUCGUUGGAUUAUAAUCCGAGGGUUCGGAUUAGAUCUUCAUCAGUUAUGAAGCGGUAUGACACGCGGACCGAUGGAUCGGUGAUCGACGGCCGAGAGUUAAAUAAAUGGAACUCGAUCCCCAUCGUCCCACAGAAACAUACGGCGCAGAUGGAUUGAUCAGGCUGGUAGGGUAAGAUCUGAUCAAGACCCUUUGUUGCCAGAUCCAUGGUCGCGAAUUCCCCAGCCAAAUAGAUAGGCAUGGCCUGAUCCGAGCCGUUAGCGGCUAGAUCAACGGCACAUGAUCAUCUCCCUGCUCCCAGGCGCUCGGACGGGCGGCGCCGCCAAGCAUCCGCGGUGAAGUCCAUCGCCGCCCCAUGCGACACGCCGCCCAGGCGCACAACCCAUAAACCUGAUGAGGUCUUCGUGAAGCAUAAACAAUGGCGAUUACACAGGAAGUAGUUUUACCGACGGCGGUGGUGAGUGCGGUGCUGCCCACGGCGAGAUGCGGGCGUGAAUGUCGCUGAGUGGAUGAACAGGCGAACAGGUUGGUCCCGUGCGGCAGCGGGAGCGCGCGGAGGCGGGUGCCGACAGGAUCUCGGUGGCAGCAGUGCGGGCGAGCACCGAUGGAAAGGAGCUUGGGCACCGCUCACCGAAGAUCGAAAUCCACAGCGCCAUGGCGUGGUCGGUCCGGGUUUGUGCGUUAUCCUGAUGGAGGAAGGGGUCGCGGGGCAUUGCUUUAUAGCCAGGGGAGCGCGGAUUUCGGAGACCCGAUCCCGCCGGCAGGUUCGGACUCCAUUUGCGGUGUGCCGGUGACCACGCGAUAUUGGCGGAUUCUGUUGAAACGAGUCCUAAGCAAGGAGAUGGUUAUGACAGCCUGGCCCCACCUGCCGGUGUCUCGUGAUAACACAGGCACACGCAGACGCCGGAUGGAGCCGCCGAAUUGCGGGCCCCACGCCACAGUGAGCAGGGCCGAGCGCGCCUGGUGGGCUGGUUAGUGGCCGGAAGAGAUGGGGUGGUGGGCCGGAAUGUGAGGGUGUGGCCCAUGAGCUGGUUUUCUCUUUUUUUCUUUUCCAAUUCCAUUUCUAUUUUCUAUUUCUUCUCAUUUUCAUAUUUAGGUUUUGAAUUUGAAUUCAACUACGAAUAUGAAUUUUGUACUCAAACAGAUUUUAAUCUUACUAGUAUGGAUAGAGUUUUAUUAUGAAUUUUAUAAUAUUUCUUUUCUUCCUUUCUCCACAUCUUAAUUUCCAAAUUUAGAUUUAAAUACCUAUUUCACCAUUUGUAUAUUCCUAUUAUUAUUAUUUUUAAAUGCACAAUCAAAUAAAUGCCAACAUGAUGCAUGUUGUAUAAAUAUUUAUUAUUAUCUCAUUUAAGUAUCAUGUUUUUAAAUAUGCAAAUUCUCAUAAACAAAAAUAGUUGUUUUUAUGAGGAGCAAAUUUCUAGUGUACAACCUUUACUAGGAGGUGCUUUAUCUAAAUUUUAUAGUUCAAAUAAAAGAGGGAACCUAAUUCAUAUAGAUGUCCUUUAUUAGAAAACAUGUUUAUUUUAUAAAAGAGGAGAUUCUUUUCUAGGGGAUUUACUCAAAAAAAACUUUUGGAGAAUUUUACUAAAUUCUUAAGAGAAGAUUUUGAGGUCUUACAAAUCCUACCCCCUUAACAGAAAUCUCGUCCUCGAGAUUUGUAAGAAAGGGAUACAAUAAGUUUGGCUUGUAGUCUAGAUUUUAAUUUCUAAUUAGUUCUAGUACCAAAAGGUUUUUUUUAUCAAUUUAUCAGGUGAUUAGGAAGGCAUAUGUAUGGCAACCCCAUUAUGUAAGAUAAAAUAUGUCCUAGAAGUAUGAGUAGGCUUGGGUAAGAAAGAGUAGGGUAAAGAAAGACUCCAUCCAAGAUUGUGGAUCUUGAUUCCCUUAAGGAUCCAACUUGAUCCUUGAAGGCUUGAGUUGAUGCUUAUCCUUCUUUUGAUGUGGUUGGUCUUCUUUGGCCUUUAUUCUUGGAGUUGUCAUCCGAGUUAAGGACAUAUGGCUAAGGACAUAUAGUUAGGAUAGCCGAGGUACACGAGGUAGGUAGGUUUGAACAGAGUUUUACUUUGCUUUUGGAAUAGAUGAGCUAGGCAACCUAUGGUUAGGUUGUUGUUCACGAACGAGUUGGUAUAAGUCAUUAAUUUAGGUUAAGAUACGUUUGUAUAAGCAGUGUCUAAUUGAUAUUACCAGAUUAACCAGCCGGUUAAAUAAUUCAUUUAGACUGGAUCAUAUUAGAUUAGGUAGAAUCUAAAUUUGGUUGGAUAUAACUAGAUUAGACUAGUUUAAGUUAAUUAGACCUACCAGGGUAGAAUAUAUAUUAUUAGGAUAUGUUAGAAUCUUUUGAGGUUAGUUAGAUCUAUUAGGAUGAGAUAAAAUCUUUUCAAGAUAAGAUGAGUCUACUAGGGUAAUAGAGUAUCUUUAAGAUAAGAUGGAUCUAUUAAGGUAAGAGAAAGUCUUUUAAGAUAAGCUGGAUCUAUCAAAAUAAGAGAGUAUCUUUUAAGGUAAGAUGGAUCUAUUUGACAUAUUCUAGUGGGGGAAUAUUCUUAGUUGUUCUAGUUUAUCUUAUAAAUAUAUCUAGUUUAAUAGAUCCAUUUUUUUUAAUAGGAAAUAUUUUGUAUUGUCUAUUUUGUAAAUAUUUUCCCUUAUGUCUAGGUGUAUAUGUAGAUGUUAUUGUGGACAUUACUCCACAACCCAUCACAAUCAAUCAAAGAUCCAAAUCAGACAAGUAUCAUAAGAACAAACAUUCAAGCACAUAGAAAAAAAUAGUUUUGUUUUUGUUCCUAAGAAUAGGUCUCCUAUUCCUAAAGAUCACUUUAGGCACGGGAUUUCAAAGUGUGAAAUCCACAUUUGUCUUUGGAAGCAGAAAGGUAAGAGUAAUCAGAGUAAAGCGGAAAUAGAUGAGAAAAGAUUAAGAGAAGUUUAGAAAGAAUCAGAGUAGCAAGGUAAGUAGGUAAGGGUUGUCCAGUUCUAUCUAGGUUUCGUCCUACAGUCAACAUUCCUCUGAUACCACUUCUGUCACACCCGGAUUUCGGGGCACCAAGACCCGGGCGCGAACAUAAUCACCAGGUGUGCUGGGACCAAGUCUCACACAUAUGAUGAUUCAUGGCACAGGAUCGAAUGUCACAUCUUUACUAUAUAACAGGAGUUCUAUACAAAAUAAAUAAAUAAUUUCAUUAUAAGGAGACAACGGUCCAGCAACCCAAAGUUGACUGGGAGACGA
rnacentral:lncRNA from 1 species